GAUGAACGCUGGCGGCGUGCCUAAUACAUGCAAGUCGAGCGAAUGGAUUAAGAGCUUGCUCGUAUGAAGUUAGCGGCGGACGGGUGAGUAACACGUGGGUAACCUGCCCAUAAGACUGGGAUAACUCCGGGAAACCGGGGCUAAUACCGGAUAACAUUUUGAACCGCAUGGUUCGAAAUUGAAAGGCGGCUUCGGCUGUCACUUAUGGAUGGACCCACGUCGCAUUAGCUAGUUGGUGAGGUAACGGCUCACCAAGGCAACGAUGCGUAGCCGACCUGAGAGGGUGAUCGGCCACACUGGGACUGAGACACGGCCCGGACUCCUGCGGGAGGCAGCAGUAGGGAAUCUUCCGCAAUGGACGAAAGUCUGACGGAGCAACGCCGCGUGAGUGAUGAAGGCGUUCGGGUCGUAAAACUCUGUUGUUAGGGAAGAACAAGUGCUAGUUGAAUAAGCUGGCACCUUGACGGUACCUAACCAGAAAGCCACGGCUAACUACGUGCCAGCCGCCGCAGUAA
rnacentral:rRNA from 1 species